ensembl:lncRNA
CUCGUCCUUCACAACUGUCGCUUCCAUUUCUCCUCAGUCUCUUGUUUCUCCUCCAUACUGCCUCUCGUUCCUUCUUCCCUUCCCUCUCCGCUUCUCCUUUCUUCUUUCCCUCCUUCCCCUUCUUUUCCUCUACCCUUUCCUUACCUUUGCUCCCAGAUCUCUGUCCUCCCACCUGCCCUUCUCUAGGUCGAGCCUGGCACAGGCCCCAGCACCUCAGGACUCACAGGGCGGUGCCAGCUCCAUUUGGCACCAACAUAAACUAAUGGUGCUCUUGAAAACAGGGAGACAGGUAAAUUACUCUCCUGUCUUCUGUCACUGUCGUUUCAUCUGUCCAGCAUAUUUCCAGUCGGUGUUGGAUUUAAUUUUCCUCCCCAGUCUGCUUUCCAACUAUCGAAUUCCUAAUUUUCUUACUUAUCUGGUGGUUAAGAUAUGAAACGAUCAGAGAAAUACCGUAUUUUUAAAAAUACCAAGAUUUUUCAAAUGAGAAAAACACCUCGAGUGAUCUGCAUAAAACAGGAGAAACGAAAAGGCUCAGGGCCAGACAGGUUCGGAACCAGUAUCAGCCACGAACACUCAGGGAAGUACGCCUGGACGCCUCUUUGAGGGUAGGAGAGUGCGUUCUCUUCACUAGAGAAACAAAGCAAACCCGAAAUUCUGCCACCGCCGCCGGAACGCCCCGUUCAGAGGGACGGCGGGACGCGCAGGGUUGGCCUUCAGUUGCGCAAGGUCAGGCCGGGAGGGCUCGGCUUUCCUGGGGUCGGGCUGGAUGUGGAGAGGCGCCAGGUUCAGACGCCGUGUCCCGGACGGGAAGCGCUGCCGAGCUCGUCUGGGGCAAUCCCGGGCUGCUCGGUGGGCCGGAGGCGCGGGCGCGCGCCAGGCCCAGCGGGACGCCCCACGCGCACCGCGCGGCCCGGAGCUCACGGACCGGUCGGGGCUCGCGGGGCGGGGCGGAAGCGGGGAGUAGCGCGGGGGAGGAACCCUCAGCCCCGCGAGCCCGGAACCCUCAGCCCCGCGAGCCCCUCCCCGCCGCCCAAGCCCGGGAGGCCCCUUACCCCGAGGGCGCGUCGCGUCCAGGAUGCGCCUCCAGGAGGGAGGGAAGCGGGGUCAGUGUGCUCCGUUUCGCGCAGGAGCCGGGAGCGGGAGCGCGGUUCGCAGCCCGGGUCCUCGCCCUGCGGUGCCCACCCCUGCCCGCGGGGAGCGGGCCGCGGCGCCGCGCAGGGUCACACAGACUAGAUGCUGGGCACAUUUUCAUCGAAUAAAUGCAUGAACUAGGAUAAUUUUCAUAUCAAAGAAAUCACUUCACGACCAGUCAGCUAACAAGAAAAUCUAAGGAAACUGUGUAAUAUCGGCUCCAUUGUGCUGUCAAGUUGCACCAGCAGCUCUCAAGGUGUCUGCACUGAAAUUGUUGUGGCUGGCGUGGCAGUUUUCCUGGGUGCGGAGUACGGCGUUGCAGCAAAAAAUGCUGCUUCGAUUCCAGGGACGGACGGAAUAUGGAAGUGGCCUCAUGAAUGGCUGCGUUGGACUUAUGGUGCUUUUAUUAAAAGUAACAGGAGGCACAGUAAUUAUAUUCAUUUUGUUCUAGAAUGCUCGUCUACAUGUUUCAGACCCGUCUACAAGGCGAUGUACAAUCUUCUCUGCCUGGCUCCCGUCAUCUCGGCGUCGGGCGACCGUCUUGGGCUGUUGGGUGGAGGCUGCCUGAUUGUAGCACAGAAAGCCCUGCACAUCGGCCCAGCCCUGGCAACCAGGUGUCUGAAUCUCCAUGUGCAGGGCCAUCCCGGCUCCAGGAGGUUCUCAAAACACAGCAGCAGCAUCCAUUUCUUUUGUCUGUGUUUAACCCAG